rnacentral:lncRNA from 1 species
GUUUCCAUGAAGACUAAGCAACUGUUAUGCUGUUAACAGAAUUGGGUCAAAUGUAACAGGGUUAAAGGUUCAACGUCAUUUCUGAUUCUGAGAAAACCAUGUAUGAUGAAGGCUUGUUUUCCUAUAAACCCCACCCCAACUUACAGGUAGGUUCUAGUAUUGGAUAGAAAAUAGAGAUUCCUAAUGGUCACCAAAGUCAUGAGUCCUCUAUGAAUAACAACUUAUCUUAUGCACGAAGGGUGCAUGACAAAAGCAUUCUUAAGAAAACCUCGUCUAGAUGUGGUAUCUCAUGCCUUCUCAUACGUGUCAAGGGCCAUGAGAGUCGACAUGAGUAUCCACUAUAAUCCUAUGUGUACACUAGCAUGGGCAACGGGCCUUUUACCUUAAUGUAGCACCCACCCUCCAACGAAACAACAACACAUCAUUGAAACUACGCGAAUUAUACCCGAGCGCAUCACACGCUCAAAGAUACAACAGAGUUGCCAUCGAACUUUAUUUAUUCCCGAAGGAAAGGGAAAACAUCGAUAAAACUCGGUGGAAAGAGAAAUAGGUAAGGAAGUCGAUUAUGCAAGAGUAAUGUAUUAGCACUCGUAACAUCCAUGGUACUCCAUGGGAACCGUUUUGAAUGUUCUCUACAAAAAUAUGUGUUAUUAUCUGAAGAUUACUCGCGAAAAGGGAAAUGGGGAUUAAUAAAGAAGUGAGAAAAAGGUGAGAAAUAGAUAAUUGUGCUCGCCAAG